rnacentral:rRNA from 1 species
AUUGAACGCUGGCGGCAUGCCUUACACAUGCAAGUCGAACGGCAGCACGGUUGCUUGCACCUGGUGGCGAGUGGCGAACGGGUGAGUAAUACAUCGGAACAUGUCCUGUAGUGGGGGAUAGCCUGGCGAAAGCCGGAUUAAUACCGCAUACGAUCUACGGAUGAAAGCGGGGGGCCUUCGUGCCUCGCGCUAUAGGGUUGGCCGGUGGCUGAUUAGCUAGUUGGUGGGGUAAAGGCCUACCAAGGCGACGAUCAGUAGCUGGUCUGAGAGGACGACGAGCGACACUGGGACUGAGACACGGCCCAGACUCCUACGGGAGGCAGCAGUGGGGAAUUUUGGACAAUGGGCGGAAGCCUGAUCCAGGAAUGCAGCGUGUGUGAAGAAGGCCUUCGGGUUGUAAAGCAGUUUUGUCCGGAAAGAAAUCCUUGGCCCUAAUACGGUCGGGGGAUGACGGUACCGGAAGAAUAAGCACCGGCUAACUACGUG